AUUGAACGCUGGCGGAAUGCUUUGCACAUGCAAGUCGAACGGUAGAGGGGGCAACCCCUCGAGAGUGGCGAACGGGUGAGUAAUAUAUCGGAACGUGCCCAGUCGUGGGGGAUAACGUAGCGAAAGUUACGCUAAUACCGCAUAUGAUCUAAGGAUGAAAGCGGGGGAUCGCAAGACCUCGCGCGAUUGGAGCGGCCGAUAUCAGAUUAGGUAGUUGGUGGGGUAAAGGCUCACCAAGCCAACGAUCUGUAGCUGGUCUGAGAGGACGACCAGCCACACUGGAACUGAGACACGGUCCAGACUCCUACGGGAGGCAGCAGUGGGGAAUUUUGGACAAUGGACGCAAGUCUGAUCCAGCCAUUCCGCGUGCAGGAUGAAGGCCCUCGGGUUGUAAACUGCUUUUGUACGGAACGAAAAGGUCUCUCUUAAUACGGGGGGCUCAUGACGGUACCGUAAGAAUAAGCACCGGCUAACUACGUGCCAGCCGCCGCAGUAA
rnacentral:rRNA from 1 species